rnacentral:rRNA from 1 species
GAUGAACGCUGGCGGCGUGCUUAACACAUGCAAGUCGAACGAUGAAGCCCAGCUUGCUUGGUGGAUUAGUGGCGCACGGGUGAGUAACACGUGAGUAACCUGCCCUUAACUCUGGGAUAAGCCUGGGAAACUGGGUCUAAUACCGGAUAGUAGCGUCCACCGCAUGUUGGGUGUUGGAAAGAGUUAUCGGUUUUGGAUGGACUCGCGGCCUAUCAGCUUGUUGGUGAGGUAAUGGCUCACCAAGGCGACGACGGGUAGCCGGCCUGAGAGGGUGACCGGCCACACUGGGACUGAGACACGGCCCAGACUCCUACGGGAGGCAGCAGUGGGGAAUAUUGCACAAUGGGCGCAAGCCUGAUGCAGCGACGCCGCGUGAGGGAUGACGGCCUUCGGGUUGUAAACCUCUUUCAGUAGGGAAGAAGCGAAAGUGACGGUACCUGCAGAAGAAGCACCGGCUAACUACGUG